rnacentral:piRNA from 1 species
GAAUAAUGCUGUUAGGAACACGGGUA